rnacentral:rRNA from 1 species
GAUGAACGCUGGCGGCGUGCCUAAUACAUGCAAGUCGAGCGAACAGACGAGGAGCUUGCUCCUCUGACGUUAGCGGCGGACGGGUGAGUAACACGUGGAUAACCUACCUAUAAGACUGGGAUAACUUCGGGAAACCGGAGCUAAUACCAGAUAAUAUAUUGAACCGCAUGGUUCAAUAGUGAAAGACGGUUUUGCUGUCACUUAUAGAUGGUUCCGCGCCGCAUUAGCUAGUUGGUAAGGUAACGGCUUACCAAGGCAACGAUGCGUAGCCGACCUGAGAGAGUGAUCGGCCACACUGGAACUGAGACACGGUCCAGACUCCUACGGGAGGCAGCAGUAGGGAAUCUUCCGCAAUGGGCGAGAGCCUGACGGAGCAACGCCGCGUGAGUGAUGAAGGUCUUCGGAUCGUAAAACUCUGUUAUUAGGGAAGAACAAAUGUGUAAGUAACUAUGCACGUCUUGACGGUACCUAAUCAGAAAGCCACGGCUAACUACGUG